rnacentral:rRNA from 1 species
GGGGGCUNCAGUAACGGNUCUUCCCNCAAUGCACGCANGUGUGAGGGAGCGACGCCGCGUGUGGGNCGAAGUCCUUCGGGAUGUAANCCACUGUCAGGGGAUACCAAGUUCUGAGGAUCCCCAGAGGAAGAGGCGGCUAACUCUGUGCCAGCAGCCGCGGUAANGACAGAGGCNUNGAGCGUUAGGCGGAAUCACUGGGCUUAAAGCGUGUGUAGGCGGACCCCUAAGUGUCUUGUGAAAUCCCACGGCUCACCCGUGGAACCGCUGGGCAUACUGGGGGUCUUGGGCCAUUCAGGGGCAACUGGAACAAGCGGUGGAGCGGUGAAAUGCGUAGAUAUCGCUUGGAACGCCGACGGUGAAAACAGGUUGCUGGGAAUGCGCCGACGCUGAGACACGAAAGCCAGGGGAGCAAACGGGAUUAGAUACCCCGGUAGUCCUGGCCCUAAACGAUGUCCACUAGAUUGCGGCGGGUUUGACCCCGUCGCGGUCGAAGCAAAAGUGUUAAGUGGACCGCCUGGGAAGUACGGUCGCAAGGCUAAAACUCAAAGGAAUUGAC